rnacentral:rRNA from 1 species
AUUGAACGCUGGCGGCAGGCUUAACACAUGCAAGUCGAGCGGGGUGAUGGUGCUUGCACUAUCACUUAGCGGCGGACGGGUGAGUAAUGCUUAGGAAUCUGCCUAUUAGUGGGGGACAACAUCUCGAAAGGGAUGCUAAUACCGCAUACGUCCUACGGGAGAAAGCAGGGGAUCACUUGUGACCUUGCGCUAAUAGAUGAGCCUAAGUCGGAUUAGCUAGUUGGUGGGGUAAAGGCCUACCAAGGCGACGAUCUGUAGCGGGUCUGAGAGGAUGAUCCGCAACACUGGGACUGAGACACGGCCCAGACUCCUACGGGAGGCAGCAGUGGGGGAUAUUGGACAAUGGGGGGAACCCUGAUCCAGCCAUGCCGCGUGUGUGAAGAAGGCCUUAUGGUUGUAAAGCACUUUAAGCGAGGAGGAGGCUCUUUUGGUUAAUACCCAAGAUGAGUGGACGUUACUCGCAGAAUAAGCACCGGCUAACUCUGUGCCAGCCGCCGCCGUAAUAC